GUAAUGGAUUGGAUGAGGGAAAACAAGCUCAAGCUGAAUCCAGAUAAAACAGAGCAACUAUCUCAACUCCUGGGGGAUCCUGGACCACAGUUUGAGAACCACAGUGCAGCAACCAAGUCCUGAACCACACCAGAUGACACCCUAAGGGGAGUGGGUUGACAGCACUGCUCCUGAAACUUCUGCCUUUUGGCAAAAAUGGGCUGUGGUAUUCACCUGUGUCCUAUUAAAAUGUGAACAAAUGGUGUGAGUGGGGUGGACCUCAG